rnacentral:rRNA from 1 species
AUUGAACGCUGGCGGCAUGCCUUACACAUGCAAGUCGAACGGCAGCACGGGUGCUUGCACCUGGUGGCGAGCGGCGAACGGGUGAGUAAUACAUCGGAACAUGUCCUGUAGUGGGGGAUAGCCCGGCGAAAGCCGGAUUAAUACCGCAUACGAUCUACGGAUGAAAGCGGGGGACCUUCGGGCCUCGCGCUAUAGGGUUGGCCGAUGGCUGGUUAGGUAGUUGGUGGGGUAAAGGCCUACCAAGGCGACGAUCAGUAGCUGGUCUGAGAGGACGACCAGCCACACUGGGACUGAGACACGGCCCAGACUCCUACGGGAGGCAGCAGUGGGGAAUUUUGGACAAUGGGCGAAAGCCUGAUCCAGCAAUGCCGCGUGUGUGAAGAAGGCCUUCGGGUUGUAAAGCACUUUUGUCCGGAAAGAAAUCCUUGGCCCUAAUACGGUCGGGGGAUGACGGUACCGGAAGAAUAAGCACCGGCUAACUACGUG